GUGCCUUUGGAACCCAUCGUUAUGGCCUUCAUUUGUGCUAGUUUAAGUUAAUUUACAAAUAAAUUCAGAGCUACUAUUCACAUGUCCUAAUCAUUGGCCACAACUAGUUUAUUGCUAUACUACAUUGCUUCAUCAAAUUGGUUUCCUGAUUGUACACUUGUUUCAUAUACACCUGUGUACAUGUUUCUUACUAUCAUUCUAUUAGCUUUGAUUAUACGAUGAAUGCACACGAGAAGUGGAGCUGCUUAAUUCCCAGAGCUGCAGCUGCCCUUUUUUUAUACAUCACCAGUCAAAAAGAGCAUUUAGGAGGUAUGGAAGCCUACUACUACUACCACUACUCUCUACUGUUGCCAUGCUGCAGCUUGUUGCUACAACUACUAUCAUAACUAGCUACUGCUAGUUAUGAGAUGAGCUUCUUGGUAGUACAAUAAUGCAAUUGCAUUGCAUAUUCAUAGCUGCUUUCUAUUCUACUAAUAUUAGUCACGGAUUGUUCCUUUCAUCUUGUUUGUGAUGUAGUGAGGGAUCCUCUACUCAUGUUGUUGCCAAUUUGAUAAAACAAUUUGAUCCUCUACUUUCAUUUUAAACAAGUAUUAGGAGGUUGUACUGCAGCUUUGUUAUGGAGUAGGACAUUCUAAAUUUACCUUUGUACUGCAGCUAUUUGGGAGAGAAGUACAAAGAUCAAGAACAAGUGCAUCGAAUUUGUUUGAGUGCCUCUACAGAAAAAAGAGAAAUGAUGCACGUUAUGUACAUAUUGCCAUUGCAUAUUAGCUUUCAAAUAUAGCUUAUAGCAAUUCUGGAUGAAAUUUUUUAUGUGAUUUAAUGUUGUAUGUGAUUAAAUGCUUGAUCAAAAUUUAUUUAUGUGAUGAGAUGUUAAUUUCUUGUUGAUA